UACAGGGGGGGCAAGCGUUGUUCGGAAUUACUGGGCGUAAAGGGUCUGUAGGUGGCUUACUAAGUCAGACGUGAAAUCCCUCAGCUUAACUGGGGAACUGCGUCUGAUACUGGAAAGCUUGAGUGCAGGAGAGGAACGCGGAAUUCCAGGUGUAGCGGUGAAAUGCGUAGAUAUCUGGAGGAACACCGGUGGCGAAGGCGGCGUUCUGGACUGCAACUGACGCUGAGGUGCGAAAGCGUGGGGAGCAAACAGG
rnacentral:rRNA from 1 species